UACGUAGGGUGCAAGCGUUGUCCGGAAUUAUUGGGCGUAAAGAGCUCGUAGGCGGUUUGUCGCGUCGGCUGUGAAAACCUAGGGCUCAACUCUGGGCUUGCAGCCGAUACGGGCAAACUAGAAUUCGGUAGGGGAGAACGGAAUUCCUGGUGUAGCGGUGAAAUGCGCAGAUAUCAGGAGGAACACCGGUGGCGAAGGCGGUUCUCUGGGCAUGUCCUGACGCUGAGGCGCGAAAGCUAGGGGAGCAAACAGG
rnacentral:rRNA from 1 species